UGGUGUAGCGGUGAAUGAUACGUGCUGAUGUAGCGCGCAGGACUCAACAGCGCCUCCAUCUGGAGCAGACGAGACACCGCGGCCUGAGGAGGAACCGCAUCCGACGCGUCCUUCAGCACUUCAUCAGGAAUCACUUUAGAUCCCUGAUCAAACACACAGAUCUCCCGAAUGUGUGUUUUGUUGAAGAGGUGGUGUCCGAGCCGCAGGAUCUGAUGCAGGGUGUCGCUCAAGAGUUUCUCCGGGCUCUGUUCGUCUGAGACGAGCGUCCGCUGGCUGUCAGACUCAUCCAGAAGCUUGUAGUUCCAGCGCUGGAAGAGUCUGCUGGGGAGGUCAUGGGACACCAGCAGGACUCGGGGCUCCAGGAUCGGGCCGCUGCGGGGCACAGCUGCGGUCUUGCAGGACAGACAGCAGAGCUUCGGUCGAACACUAGUGCAUGAAACACAGUUAUGGAUUUUUACAAUCACUGCAUCUGUUAUAUGAGGAGACGUUUAGGAAUAUGAUGCUCAUGUCACUGAAACCCUGGGCAGAAAGUCAUGGGUCUGCAGGUUGAGGGAGGUGGAUGGUGUUUUGCAGAUGAAGCACCUCGAUGACGAGCAGUGUGUGUCGAGGGUAGAUCAGCAGGAGACCGGUGACGUCUUCUCCAGCACUUCUCCUCUGCAGACUGACCAUCAGCCUCUCCAAGUGAUCUGACACACAACACACACCAGAGCAACGCUUGCAGUGCUUUUACAAUUUAACCAUUUUCAGGUCUGGGUUUGGAUUAUAAUGACAGUCUAAACCUUUACAGUUUUUUUUUUUCAGCUGCUUGCACACAUUUUCCAAACUUUGCCUCUUUUUUUCCAAACUUCACACACAAAUCCAAGAAUUGCACACAAAAUGCAAAUGCCUCGCAUCUCUUGCAAAACGAAGCAAUGCAUUCAAAAUAUCACAAACACAUCUCAAAAGCAAACAUUUGCAAACACCUUUGCCAUAAUAUUAAUUCCUGUUAGAUUUGUGUGUGUUAUGUAGAGAAUUGUGUUGUGUUUUGCAAAAAGUGUUUUAUGAAAUUGAAAACUGAGUCAAAGGCUGAGAAUCAGUGUCUGGUUUUGCAGAUUUGGUGUGUGCUUCUGCUGUUUGAGUGACAGCUUUCAGAAACUGUGUGACGAGGAAAGAUUUUGUGUGGAAGCAGCUGAAAAACAGUGUAAAGAGAAAUCUGAGAGUGGAUGUAAACAGACCUCCCACCGUCCUCCUGUCAGCCGCUUCACACGAGAGACGGCCAAUCACAGUCAGCCUGUGUAACAGGAACUUCUGCGGGAGAGACAGGAAGUGAUAAAAGACAAACCUGCUGAGUGACUGACGGUCGUAAACGAAUAUGA